AUCCAGUUGACGAAUCGCAAACAGGACGAAAAGCGCGUACUGGAU
rnacentral:hammerhead_ribozyme from 1 species